UCGGGCGAGUCGUCCGGCGGCGGCGGCGUGUGCUGAAGGAAAAGCGAGCGAGAAAAGAAGAGGAGAAUAAAAACCUUAAAAACCGAUCGCGCGUGAGUGUGCGCGCGCCCGCGGUGUGUGCCGUUCAGUCGUAGUCCGAUCGUUUCCGUCGUUGUCGUCGUCUGCCGUUUUUCUCUCCCUCGACUCAUCGUUUAUUCGUUCACGGCGGCGUUGUCGUUAGUGGUGGCGUUUACACCCCCCGAAGAAGGACGGCCAUAGGAUAUCACGCUUAUCAUUGUUAGACGAAUCGCCCAUCACAAGAUUAGAACAAUGAAAAUAAGCGUUCAGUUGAAAUUUUCGCUAGAUUUAACUAAAACAAAAAAGAAAGAAAAACGAGUUUUAUUCAUUGACCAACACACGAAGCCUUAUAAUAUUGUUACCAGACACCGGUGGUAUGAGACCGUAAGCCACCAGGUAUCGGGUUUCGACAGUCGUCUUGCAUUACCACGUGUUCCCACCCAUCAACCCUGAGGAAAUUGUACUCGCAUGACGGAAACAAAUGAGUACCUACUGUUAUAUUUUAUGCAACGUCGCUGCAGCACGCCUUUUCCCUCUAUAUGCAAUAAUAGACCAUAGGUCAUCAUAGAAUAAAACGAUUUUGCGUAUAUAAGUCAAAGGAUUUCAGGCAGACAAGCACAGUAUUCACAAGACUCUUCUUUUGGACGUAUCAAAGUGUAUACUAUGUAUGGUUUGUAAAACAAGAGCUGUGUAUUCAGAUUGGUAAACGUCGGUGAAUACUGGUUUCGUAUUGGUGCAUAGAAGUAUUUUUUGAACUUGUCUAGCACCAUUUGAAACCAGUACUUAUUGACGGGAUGUCUUCUAG